rnacentral:rRNA from 1 species
UACGUAGGGUGCGAGCGUUGUCCGGAAUUAUUGGGCGUAAAGAGCUCGUAGGCGGUGUGUCACGUCGGCCGUGAAAACCCGGGGCUCAACCCCGGGCCUGCAGUCGAUACGGGCAGGCUAGAGUCCGGUAGGGGAGACUGGAAUUCCUGGUGUAGCGGUGAAAUGCGCAGAUAUCAGGAGGAACACCGGUGGCGAAGGCGGGUCUCUGGGCCGGAACUGACGCUAAGGAGCGAAAGCGUGGGGAGCGAACAGG